AAUAGAUACCCGGGUAGUCCAUGCCGUAAACGUUGGGAACUAGAUGUGGGGACCAUUCCACGGUCUCCGUGUCGCAGCUAACGCAUUAAGUUCCCCGCCUGGGGAGUACGGCCGCAAGGCUAAAACUCAAAGGAAUUGACGGGGGCCCGCACAAGCGGCGGAGCAUGCGGAUUAAUUCGAUGCAACGCGAAGAACCUUACCAAGGCUUGACAUACGCGAGAACGCUGCAGAAAUGCAGAACUCUUUGGACACUCGUGAACAGGUGGUGCAUGGUUGUCGUCAGCUCGUGUCGUGAGAUGUUGGGUUAAGUCCCGCAACGAGCGCAACCCUCGUCUUAUGUUGCCAGCACGUAAUGGUGGGGACUCAUAAGAGACUGCCGGGGUCAACUCGGAGGAAGGUGGGGAUGAGGUCAAAUCAUCAUGCCCCUUAUGUCUUGGGCUUCACGCAUGCUACAAUGGCCGGUACAAAGGGCAGCAAUACCGCGAGGUGGAGCAAAUCCCAAAAAGCCAGUCUCAGUUCGGA
rnacentral:rRNA from 1 species